CUGUAAAACACAGAAAGAAUGUGACUGCAUGUGAAUGUGUGUAUACAACUCCACUUUUGCCUUGGCUGUUCCAGUCACCCUGAUUCCGCUCAAUGCUGGCUAUUGUACGUUUCAUCCAAACAAUUUUAAUGGAUAUCAGACAGCCAGGGAUUCCUUCCCGCAUCCGUUGUGCUGAUAUCUGGCAGAGCAGAAAAUAUUAUUCCUCUGGGAGAAUUGUAAGCAUGGACUCAGCAGCUGAGGAACCUGAAGAGUCAGUGGGGGUGUCAUCAGAGAAGACACCAUGCCUGAGCAGCACCGGAAAGGAAGAGAACAUCUAAGGCCUGAAUGCUGGAGACUCUUGAACACAAAAGACCAGAGGCCACCAAGCUUGAGGCACAUGAGAGUGGACCAACCGUAGUUCCAUUGGAGGGAUAUCUCCUGCUGUAGGACAGACUAUCUUUCUGAACAAUUCCUGGAGCUGGUGGACUAAUUGUGUCCGUGGG